rnacentral:rRNA from 1 species
AUUGAACGCUGGCGGCAUGCCUUACACAUGCAAGUCGAACGGCAGCACGGGUGCUUGCACCUGGUGGCGAGUGGCGAACGGGUGAGUAAUACAUCGGAACGUACCGUGUAAUGGGGGAUAACGUAGCGAAAGUUACGCUAAUACCGCAUACGACCUGAGGGUGAAAGCAGGGGAUCGCAAGACCUUGCGUUAUACGAGCGGCCGAUGUCAGAUUAGCUAGUUGGUGAGGUAAAGGCUCACCAAGGCGACGAUCUGUAGCGGGUCUGAGAGGAUGAUCCGCCACGCUGGGACUGGGACACGGCCCAGACUCCUACGGGAGGCAGCAGUGGGGAAUUGUGGACAGUGGGGGCAACCCUGAUCCAGCCAUGCCGCGUGAGUGAAGAAGGCCUUCGGGUUGUAAAGCUCUUUCGGCCGGGAAGAAAUCGCACAGGCUAAUACUCUGUGUGGAUGACGGUACCGGCAUAAGAAGCACCGGCUAACUACGUGCCAGCCGCCGCAGUAA